GACGAACGCUGGCGGCGUGCCUAAUACAUGCAAGUCGAGCGGACUUUCAAGAAGCUUGCUUUUUGAAAGUUAGCGGCGGACGGGUGAGUAACACGUGGGCAACCUGCCUGUAAGACGGGGAUAACUCCGGGAAACCGGGGCUAAUAACGGAUAAUAUCUUUCUUCGCAUGAAGGAAGGUUGAAAGGCGGCGCAAGCUGCCGCUUGCAGAUGGGCCCGCGGCGCAUUAGCUAGUUGGUGAGGUAACGGCUCACCAAGGCGACGAUGCGUAGCCGACCUGAGAGGGUGAGCGGCCACACUGGGACUGAGACACGGCCCAGACUCCUACGGGAGGCAGCAGUAGGGAAUCUUCCGCAAUGGACGAAAGUCUGACGGAGCAACGCCGCGUGAGCGAAGAAGGUCUUCGGAUCGUAAAGCUCUGUUGUCAGGGAAGAACAAGUACCGUUCGAAUAGGGCGGUACCUUGACGGUACCUGACCAGAAAGCCACGGCUAACUACGUGCCAGCCGCCGCAGUAA
rnacentral:rRNA from 1 species